CGUGUAGGCGGUUUGGUAAGUCUGAUGUGAAAGCCCUGGGCUCAACCUGGGAAGUGCAUUGGAAACUGUCAGACUUGAAUACGGGAGAGGGCAGUGGAAUUCCUGGUGUAGGAGUGAAAUCCGUAGAUAUCAGGAGGAACACCGGUGGCGAAGGCGGCUGCCUGGACCGAUAUUGACGCUGAGACGCGAAAGCGUGGGUAGCAAACAGGAUUAGAUACCCUGGUAGUCCACGCCGUAAACGAUGAGUACUAGGUGUUGCGGGUAUUGACCCCUGCAGUGCCGCAGCUAACGCAUUAAGUACUCCGCCUGGGAAGUACGGUCGCAAGACUAAA
rnacentral:rRNA from 1 species